rnacentral:rRNA from 1 species
GACGAACGCUGGCGGCAUGCUUAACACAUGCAAGUCGCACGGAGUGGCGAACGGGUGUGUAACACGUGGGUGAGCUUCCCUGCACUUCGUGGUAAGCCUGGGCAACUGGGUCUAAUCCCGCAUCGUGUGGGAUGGGCCCGGGGCCUAUCAGCUUGUUGGUGGGGUAAUGGCCUACCAAGGCGGCGACGGGUAGCCGGCCUGAGAGGGUGGACGGACACAUGGGGCCUGCGGCACGGCCCAGACUCUUAAGGGAGGCAGAAGUGGGGACUAUGGUCAAAUGCGCGGACGCCUGAUGCAGCGACGCCGCGUGGGGUAUGACGGCCAUCCGGGGGCAAACUCCCUCCACCGUCGACGCGGUAGAUUGAGAAGAAGCACCGGCUAACGCCGUGCCAGCAGCCGCGGUAAUUC